AAGUCGUAACAAGGUCUCCGUAGGUGAACCUGCGGAGGGAUCAUUACCGAGAUUCGGGUCCUUUUGGGGGCCUGACCCUCCCACCCUUUGUGUAUAUACCCUCGUUGCUUCGGCGUACCCCGCGGUCAAUGGUGCUGCUCGACACGCCGGACCCGGGCCGUCAGUGGCCCCCAUCAAUUCUGAAUGUAUCGGUGACGUCUGAGCGUACACAUGCAAAACGAACAAAAUUUUCAACAACGGAUCUCUUGGUUCCGGCAUCGAUGAAGAACGCAGCGAAAUGCGAUAAGUAAUGUGAAUUGCAGAAUUCAGUGAACCAUCGAAUCUUUGAACGCACAUUGCGCCCUCUGGUAUUCCGGAGGGCAUGCCUGUCCGAGCGUCAUUGCACCUCUCAAGCGCAGCUUGGUAUUGGGCUAUCGUCCCCCGGGACGGGCCUGAAAAUCAGUGGCGGUGCAACCGGUACUCGAGCGCAGUAGAAUCAUCGCUCCGGAGUCUCCGGCUGGACCCGCCAGACAACCCCCUUCGCGAUUACACUGGUUGACCUCGGAUCAGGUAGGGAUACCCGCUGAACUUAAGCAUAUCAAUAAGCGGAGGAAAAGAAACCAACAGGGAUUGCCUCAGUAACGGCGAGUGAAGCGGCAACAGCUCAAAUUUGAAAUCUGGCCUUCCGGGCCCGAGUUGUAAUUUGCAGAGGGAGUUUCGGGGGCGGCGCCGGCCUAAGUUCCUUGGAACAGGGCGUCACAGAGGGUGAGAAUCCCGUACGUGGCCGGCGGUCAACCCCGUGUGAAACCCCUUCGACGAGUCGAGUUGUUUGGGAAUGCAGCUCAAAACGGGUGGUAAAUUUCAUCUAAAGCUAAAUACCGGCCGGAGACCGAUAGCGCACAAGUAGAGUGAUCGAAAGAUGAAAAGCACUUUGGAAAGAGAGUUAAACAGUACGUGAAAUUGUUGAAAAGGAAGCGCUUGCCACCAGACUUGCUCACGGGCGAUCAGCCCCCCUUCGCGGGGGGUGCACUCGCCCGCGAUCAGGCCAGCAUCGGUUCCGGCGGGCGGAUAAAGGCCUCAGGAAUGUAGCUCCUUCCGGGGAGUGUUAUAGCCUGGGGUGCCAUGCGCCCUGCCGGGACCGAGGACCGCGCUUCGGCUAGGAUGCUGGCGUAAUGGUUGCAAGCGACC
rnacentral:rRNA from 1 species